rnacentral:rRNA from 1 species
GUGGGGAAUCUUCCGCAAUGGACGAAAGUCUGACGGAGCAACGCCGCGUGAGUGAAGAAGGUUUUCGGAUCGUAAAGCUCUUUCGUUAGGGACGAACGUGCUCUUUGUGAAUAAUGAGGAGUAAUGACGGUACCUAAAUAAGAAGCCACGGCUAACUACGUGCCAGCAGCCGCGGUAAUACGUAGGUGGCAAGCGUUGUCCGGAAUUAUUGGGCGUAAAGCGCGCGCAGGCGGGAUAUCAAGUCUGUCUUAAAAGUGCGAGGCUCAACCUCGUGAGGGGACAGAAACUGGUAUUCUUGAGUGUCGGAGAGGAAAGUGGAAUUCCAAGUGUAGCGGUGAAAUGCGUAGAUUUGGAAGAACACCAGUGGCGAAGGCGACUUUCUGGACGAUGUCUGACGCUGAGGCGCGAAAGCUAGGGGAGCGAAUGGGAUUAGAUACCCCUGUAGUCC